UACAGAGGUCCCAAGCGUUGUUCGGAUUCACUGGGCGUAAAGGGUGCGUAGGUGGCCGGGUAAGUUUGAUGUGAAAUCUCCGAGCUUAACUCGGAAACUGCAUUGAAUACUAUCCUGCUCGAGGGUUGGAAGGGGGACUGGAAUUCUCGGUGUAGCAGUGAAAUGCGUAGAUAUCGGGAGGAACACCUGUGGCGAAAGCGGCUCACUGGACCAUAACUGACGCUGAUGCACGAAAGCUGGGGGAGCAAACAGG
rnacentral:rRNA from 1 species